CCAGGCAAAAAGCGAAGAGCGGGCUGACAAAAUGGUCGCCGUUGAGGAAGCGAGAGCGAAUGGGGAGGAGAAGAGUUUGUGCUUUGGAAGACUGAGGGUGUGUCAACCGAAGUUGCGAGCGACGGAUUCAGAAACGGAUGCUGAGUGAACCGCCGCCGUUUCCUCUUCGGAAAGAAAAGGAUGCACAAAAUCAUCUCCGAUAGGGAACGGACACUUGUUUCCAGAACUGGUGGAAAAUCUUACUCUUUGCGCGCGUCUCAAUUGCUCUCUCUGGAGAAUAGGUUACUACCUAGAUUUCGGCGCCUAGCUAUGUAUUUUUCAUGAAGAGACAUGUAUGUUGACUAAAUAUACAGAAUUCCAUCACACUGGAUUGAACUAUGUAAUUAUCAGAUUACUGCUUCAUUCGCUCCCAGACAUUUGUCUCUUCAGCAUUUGAAGGAUUCUGUAUUAAGAGUAUGCCUAAUAUAACCAUUAUAAUCCAUUAAAAAGAAUAUGCAAAAGCUUUUGUUCAUUUA